GAAGCGCGCCAGACCGCCGCUGGUGCAAUCUGGGAAACCAGGCACUGGAGGAACGUCCGGACUGCACAGGACAGCGUAGCAGCUAACGGCUGCCCACCGUGAGGUGAGGAUUAGAGCAACAGAGACGAGCCGAUUAAGUUCGGAUGAAACGGGCAAUCUCUACGCGCAGCAAUACCAAGUAGGCCAACGUUGAUGUGGUUCCGCAGAGUUGGCGGGUAGGUAGCAUCGAGCCGUGGUGGCGACACCCGGCCCAGAGUAAUGGCGGUCACGCCGCGGGCAACCGUGGUGCACAGAAUCCGGCUUAUCGGCGCGCUUCACAC
rnacentral:RNase_P_RNA from 1 species